UCCGUAGGGCGCAAGCGUUAUCCGGAAUUAUUGGGCGUAAAGAGCUCGUAGGCGGUUUGUCGCGUCUGCCGUGAAAGUCCGGGGCUCAACUCCGGAUCUGCGGUGGGUACGGGCAGACUAGAGUGAUGUAGGGGAGACUGGAAUUCCUGGUGUAGCGGUGAAAUGCGCAGAUAUCAGGAGGAACACCGAUGGCGAAGGCAGGUCUCUGGGCAUUAACUGACGCUGAGGAGCGAAAGCAUGGGGAGCGAACAGG
rnacentral:rRNA from 1 species